CCUACGGGCGGCAGCAGUGAGGAAUCUUGGUCAAUGGGCGGAAGCCUGAACCAGCCAAGUAGCGUGCGGGAUGAAGGCCCUACGGGUCGUAAACCGCUUUUGUACGGGGAUAACACCCUCCACUUGUGGAGGUCUGCAGGUACCGUGCGAAUAAGGUCCGGCAAAUUCCGUGCCAGCAGCGGGGGUAAUACGGAGGGCGCGAGCGUUAUCCGGAUUCAUUGGGCUUAAAGGGAGCGUGGCCGGGCGUUAAAGUCAGCUGUAAAAUCGCGGGGUCCAACCGCGCCCCGCAGUUGAAACUGGGAGACUUGAGUUCAGGAGAGGGAGGCGGAAUUCGUGGUGUAGCAGUGAAAUGCGUAGAUAUCGAGAGGAACCC
rnacentral:rRNA from 1 species